UGCAGCCGGGGAGUCAGCGGUGCCCUGUACCUGCAAUCCGCUACAGCAGGGGUGAUGCCAAACUGAGGGCAUUGUUUUGCAGAGCUGCCCUUUAUAAGUGGCGAUGACGUCUGGGUCUUACGCAACAGAAAUCUAUGAAUCGUGUCAGGUCAGGAAUGAAGCAGCACUAAGUAGACGCUUCUGUGUGCCGUGAGGGUGCCUGGAUUGAGUUAACUGUAGAGGUAACGUCUGUGAGCAAUGUUCGAGGGGCGGCGCACG
rnacentral:SRP_RNA from 1 species